GAUGAACGCUGGCGGCGUGCUUAACACAUGCAAGUCGAACGGAAAGGCCCAAGCUUGCUUGGGUACUCGAGUGGCGAACGGGUGAGUAACACGUGGGUGAUCUGCCCUGCACUUCGGGAUAAGCCUGGGAAACUGGGUCUAAUACCGGAUAGGACCACUUCUUGGAUGUUGUGGUGGAAAGUUUUUUCGGGGUGGGAUGAGCUCGCGGCCUAUCAGCUUGUUGGUGGGGUAAUGGCCUACCAAGGCGUCGACGGGUAGCCGGCCUGAGAGGGUGUACGGCCACAUUGGGACUGAGAUACGGCCCAGACUCCUACGGGAGGCAGCAGUGGGGAAUAUUGCACAAUGGGCGCAAGCCUGAUGCAGCGACGCCGCGUGGGGGAUGACGGCCUUCGGGUUGUAAACUCCUUUCGCUAGGGACGAAGCGUUUUGUGACGGUACCUGGAGAAGAAGCACCGGCUAACUACGUG
rnacentral:rRNA from 1 species